CUCUUCCGGUGAGAAGAUGUAAAUCUAUUAACAUGACUUCGGAAAAAGUACAUUAGUUCACGGAGCAGAGCGAGUGGAGGGGGAGAGGUUUAUAUUAAGAAGUUUGUGCAAGUCAGAAUCGAUGGCCCCAACCACGACUCCGGUCCAAGUACCUUGAAUUAGUUGUCUAUGAUGUAUGUUAUUCACUGUGUAUUUCCCUUGUGUAAUCUGAUUAAUGAUGCGCGUUUCCAAGAUUCCAAUUAGCGAAUUGCUUGAAGCAUUUGGCCACUGAAUUGUUACCCUGGAUAUACCUUAUGUGUUGCACCUUUUAAUUGCCAUGGUAUUUACUCUAUCCAUUAAAAUGCAGCACAAUUAAUUCCCA